rnacentral:Y_RNA from 1 species
AGAGCGCUUGCCUACGAAGCAAGAAGUCGCGCGUUCGAGUCGCGCCGGGGUCGCCGCCGCCCGGCAUCGACCCCGUAGCUCAGUGGAUAGAGCACUUGACUUCGAAUCAAGUUGUCGCGCGUUC